rnacentral:tRNA from 3 species
GGAGAGGUGGCCGAGUGGUCGAAGGCGCUCCCCUGCUAAGGGAGUAGGCGUCAAAAGCGUCUCGUGGGUUCGAAUCCCAUCCUCUCCGCCA